rnacentral:rRNA from 1 species
GAUGAACGCUAGCGGCAGGCCUAAUACAUGCAAGUCGAACGGUAGAUCGGGUAGCAAUACUUGAUUGAGAGUGACGUAAGGGUGCGUAACACGUAUGCAAUCUACCCUCAACAGGAGUAUAGCUCGGGGAAACUCGGAUUAACACUCCAUAACAUUACGAUGUGGCAUCACAUUGUGAUUAAAACUCCGGUGGUUGAGGAUGAGCAUGCGUCUGAUUAGUUAGUUGGAGGUGUAACGGACCCCCAAGACGAUGAUCAGUAGGGGAACUGAGAGGUUGAUCCCCCACACUGGCACUGAGAUACGGGCCAGACUCCUACGGGAGGCAGCAGUAGGGAAUAUUGGUCAAUGGGUGAGAGCCUGAACCAGCCAUGCCGCGUGCAGGAAGACGGCCUUCUGGGUUGUAAACUGCUUUUAUCUGGGGAUAAAAAGCCCAUGCGUGGGACAUUGAAGGUACCAGAUGAAUAAGCACGGCUAACUACGUGCCAG